UACGGGGGGGGCAAGCGUUGUUCGGAAUUACUGGGCGUAAAGGGCUCGUAGGCGGCCAACUAAGUCAGACGUGAAAUCCCUCGGCUUAACCUGGGAAUGGCGUUUGGGACUGGAAGUCUGGAGUGCGGCAGAGGAGACUGGAAUUCCUGGUGUAGCAGUGAAAUGCGUAGAUAUCAGGAGGAACACCGAUGGCGAAGGCAGGUCUCUGGGCUGACACUGACGCUCAUG
rnacentral:rRNA from 1 species